AUAAUGGUUUUUAUUACCUACUUCUUGUCUCGCCUCUUGGACACAACAUAUUUGGUGAUAAAGGAUGGCUCUUGUAUCACUGAACCCACCGGUACCUUUCCUUCAAAGUCCAGGAGGAACCUGGAAACUUCAGACCAGUCAGUCUGACAACAAUCCCUGGGAACAUUCUGGAGCAGAUUAUAAAGUGACCAAUCUGAGGCACGAUAGAAGAGAUGAAUAGGCAGGGGGAGCCUGCUAGCGUCUGACUCUGAGAGGAAAAAAUGGACGCCGGAGGAAAAAGCCAGGGCAAGGAAGGCAGAAUGGCGAAGAGCU